GACGAACGCUGGCGGCGUGCUUAACACAUGCAGGUCGAACGGAAAGGCCCUGCUUUUGUGGGGUGCUCGAGUGGCGAACGGGUGAGUAACACGUGAGUAACCUGCCCUUGACUUCGGGAUAACUUCAGGAAACUGGGGCUAAUACCGGAUAGGAGCUCCUGCUGCAUGGUGGGGGUUGGAAAGUUUCGGCGGUUGGGGAUGGACUCGCGGCUUAUCAGCUUGUUGGUGGGGUAGUGGCUUACCAAGGCUUUGACGGGUAGCCGGCCUGAGAGGGUGACCGGCCACAUUGGGACUGAGAUACGGCCCAGACUCCUACGGGAGGCAGCAGUGGGGAAUAUUGCACAAUGGGCGGAAGCCUGAUGCAGCAACGCCGCGUGCGGGAUGACGGCCUUCGGGUUGUAAACCGCUUUCGCCUGUGACGAAGCGUGAGUGACGGUAAUGGGUAAAGAAGCACCGGCUAACUACGUG
rnacentral:rRNA from 1 species